rnacentral:misc_RNA from 1 species
UAAUAAGUGUUCUACUGCACUUUUUAAAAAUAGUACUCACCUUGUGUGCAAUGUUGUGUGUUGUGUUUACACUUCACACCUACACCAACCUAUAACCUUGAACCACUUUGUCUGAAAAACUAUUAUGAAUACUUAAUUCAAAAUA